rnacentral:rRNA from 1 species
CCUACGGGAGGCAGCAGUGAGGAAUAUUGGUCAAUGGACGAGAGUCUGAACCAGCCAAGUAGCGUGAAGGAUGACUGCCCUAUGGGUUGUAAACUUCUUUUAUAAAGGAAUAAAACGAGGCACGUGUGCCUUUUUGCAUGUACUUUAUGAAUAAGGAUCGGCUAACUCCGUUCCAGCAGCCGCGGUAAUACGGAGGAUCCGAGCGUUAUCCGGAUUUAUUGGGUUUAAAGGGAGCGUAGAUGGGUUGUUAAGUCAGUUGUGAAAGGUUGCGGCUCAACCGUAAAAUUGCAAUUGAUACUGGCAGUCUUGAGUACAGUUGAGGUAGGCGGAAUUCGUGGUGUAGCGGUGAAAUGCUUAGAUAUCACGAAGAACCCCGAUUGCGAAGGCAGCUUACUAAACUGUGACUGACAUUGAUGCUCGAAAGUGUGGGUAUCAAACAGGAUUAGAUACCCUGGUAGUC